rnacentral:rRNA from 1 species
CUACGGGAGGCAGCAGUGGGGAAUAUUGCACAAUGGGCGCAAGCCUGAUGCAGCAACGCCGCGUGAGGGAUGAGGGCCUUCGGGUUGUAAACCUCUUUUAGCAGGGAAGAAGCGAAAGUGACGGUACCUGCAGAAAAAGCACCGGCUAACUACGUGCCAGCAGCCGCGGUAAUACGUAGGGUGCAAGCGUUGUCCGGAAUUAUUGGGCGUAAAGAGCUCGUAGGCGGUUUGUCACGUCUGCUGUGAAAAUCCAAGGCUCAACCUUGGACUUGCAGUGGGUACGGGCAGGCUAGAGUGCGGUAGGGGAGAUGGGAAUUCCUGGUGUAGCGGUGGAAUGCGCAGAUAUCAGGAGGAACACCAAUGGCGAAGGCACAUCUCUGGGCCGUAACUGACGCUGAGGAGCGAAAGCGUGGGGAGCGAACAGGAUUAGAUACCCCCGUAGUC